GACGUAGGGUCCGAGCGUUAUCCGGAAUUACUGGGCGUAAAGCGUGGGUAGGUGGCCUCAUAAGUCUGUUGUUAAAGCCUUCGGCUCAACCGAAGAACCGCAAUGGAUACUGUGAGGCUUAGAGGCUAGCAGGGGUACAUGGAAUUCCCGGUGUAGGGGUGAAAUCCGUUGAUAUCGGGAAGAACACCAGUGGCGAAGGCGAUGUACUAGGCUAGAGCUGACACUGAUCCACGAAAGCGUGGGGAGCGAAACGG
rnacentral:rRNA from 1 species